GCAGAAGAGAGGUCUGUCGCUUCAUGCCGGGAGCAUGAAGAGGAAAGUCCGGGCAACACAGAGCUCCAUACUUGGUAACGUCAAGUCGGCGGCGACGUCGGGGUGAAUGUGACAGAAAACUACCGCCGGAGUCUCUAUUGAAUCUCCGGUAAGGGUGAAAAGGUGGGGUAAGAGCCCACCGGAUGCCGUGGCGACACGACAUGCCGCACAUCCUAUGGGUUGCAAGGCCAAAUACACCGGCAGCUAAGGGCUGCUCGUCCAUUGCCGGGGGGUAGGCUGCUCGGCGCGAAAGCGCCGGAGCCGUCUGGCGACAGACGGUCAAGAUAAAUGACAGACGGCGAACUUCCUCACAGGAAUUUCGCUACAUAACCCGGCUUAUAUCCCUUCUGCAUUC
rnacentral:RNase_P_RNA from 1 species